UGGAAGCUUUGCUCUGCCAACUCUGCUUUGGACUUUUUCCUCUGCCUAUUUCUCACAGCUUCUUUGCUCCCUGCUGCUCAUCUUUGGUAUUCCAAGCAAAGCCACGUGUCCUGAUCUUAGGACCUUGCAUAUUUCACCCCUCAUCAGAGUUGAUAAAUCAUAUUGCUUCCAUGCAACAAUCACAACACGCUUGAUAGCAGAUGCCAAAAUUCUUUCCAAAAUUU
rnacentral:lncRNA from 1 species